AGUCCUGUAGUGAAAUUCAUGUUGAGUUGCAAGCUCAUUGAUGUGCAUUAGUGAUGCACCGGGACUU
rnacentral:tRNA from 1 species